AUGGUACAAAUGUUUUUAUCCGUUUUCAGUAGCGGUCCUGCGGAAAGCGCUGGAGAAGGCCGCCAACCAAAGUUUUUGCCUACACUGGAAGCUGCUGUAAAAGAGGUGCCUGUUGAUCGUUUAACUCCUGCCGGCUCACAAUUCAACGAUAAGAUUGUGGGGUUGGCGUUGGGCGUUCCGGCUUUUGCUGUGGCGGAGGCGCUUCAUUUGACGCCCCAAGGGACAAAUGAAAGCAUUACUGAAGCGCUUAGAGUACGAGGCAUUGAUGGGGACUAUAUUCUACUGGGGGAUCCCUAUUCCCUCACAGACAUUAAAGACGUGCAGCUCCGCUGCCUCAAUGAUAGAAACCUUCUCGCACCGGAUAAUAAGUCGACUCCAGACGUGGGUUUCCGACUCAAAGCAUCAAUACCCAUGCUACUAUCCCGGAAAUGGCGCGCAAAAUGCUACCGCAAGAUAAAUUCAGCCUUCUACCAAAAUUAAGACGGACGAAGGGGUUGCGCACUAUUCGAAUCAAAGUUGAUUUGCGGCUCUUCACAAAUUAUCACGAUUAUACGGUUGUUACAAACGAAAUAUUCGUAGAAUUGCUGCGGGGACUAAAAGAUGCUUUCGUCAGAGGAGAGGGGAAACGCCGAUGCCUCAUUUUUCAGAUGGAAAAUGGGAAUCUGUUCUCUGAUAAAAGCAUACAAAUCCCAUUAGUUAGUUAUCGUUAGUUAUUACCCAUAGUUAUCGUGAACGAAAGAAUUGCUGACAACGGUCGGGUAGCUAUUAUAGGUGGGAUUGUUGUUUUUUUCAGUUUCACUGUUGAACACUGAUUGUGAGACUGAAAUACUGAAUGUUGGAACUUAGAGAAAUGGUAGUAUCUAACUCUGUUCUAUAGCAAGUUACUUUAGUAGACAAUUUAUUGUAUUGUAUAGAUAUACCUUUGAAAAACAUAAGUUGCUUCUCAACUGUAUCGUUGAAUACUGAAUGUUGAAACUUAGUGAAAUAGUAGUAGUUAAACUGUUGAUUCAUAAGUUGUACAAAUGCAAUACGCAUUAUUCAUCAUCCAGAUUACUUAUAUAGUUCUUCAGAUGUAUAAUUUAGUCCAACUUUAAAUUUAAGAUUAUUUGUAAUUCUAUCAUGGGGGAUGAAAUGUCAGAGGACGGUUCCUCCCAUUUGUAAUUAUUAUUACAAUAAAGAUUUAAAAAAAAAAAAAAAAAGAAGCACCAAAUAUCCACUGAGAGUCAGGUCAGUAGUGUGUCGAUCGUUGAAUCGUUGUCAUAAGAGUUUGAUCGAUAACUCCCUAUAUCAACAAUUGAAUAUAUCGACCAAUGUUAUUCGACAAUCGACCCUCUGAGGCUGAAAACAGAGAGGUUGUUUUUAAAAACGGAUAUUGCUGCGGAGGGGAGCGGAGAACCCCUCGACACCGUGGGAAAACUUAUGUUUUCAACUUCUCAUCAAAAAGUUUCGAAAGAUUUGGACGUCCCAUUGGCAGUUUCAAGAGCAAUCUUCUGUAUUGUUCCUCGGUGUUAACGAGAGGCAACCUGCAAGUAUCGUUCAAGUGCCCCUGGAUAACUUAAUGCAAUUUUCGUCUUUCGAGAUAAUGAGGCUCGUAAAGAAAAAUCAAAGGAGCUUCGACGGAAAGAAGGGCCACUGAUACUGCAACAACGGACGUCUUGAUCUCUCCAAUCUCGCCAAAACCCCAUGCGCACGGAUUUCCAAACCAGAUGUAUGCGUCUCAAAUAUGGUCGCAAUCUGCUCAAGUCCUAUCGAAUAAGCUCGAGGGUGUUCAACAUCUUUUCCUCAGAGUGACGUCAAAGAGAACUGACGGAGAACUCAUUUCUCAACUUAUAAUUAAAGUGUAUGUUGAAUAAUUUGUUGGACAAACAUUAAAAUUCGUAUUUGCUAAAUAAUAUGUUUCUUCUGUUUCAGGAUUAUCAAAAUUUUUAGUUCCGAUUUUAAUCCAGAAGAUUGUCCACACAUGUUUCACAGUUAUUUGAUGUCGAAAUUUUACGAAGUAAUAAUUUUUUAUGCUGUUUGCUGUUGAUGUCAG
rnacentral:lncRNA from 1 species